UUCGUUACCGAUACCCUACUUUUUUAUUUUUCCUAAUUUGUCACAAUGACGUAAGGUGGCAGAAUAGGGGGAAAUUGCAGUUGGAAGGGAAAUGACUUUGCGAAUUCAUCGGUCCAACAGUUCAGCAUCGGUUCAGGUACGGUUCAGGCAAGACGGAAACAUUCCGCACUCCCUACACUGCGUCAUCAUCAAUCAUCAGUCACAACUGCGCAGCAUAUUGUUCAUUAUUCAAGGAGAAAAUGGAUUGUUAAUUCGCACAUUUGCAUGCUGCCUCUUCUCACACCUGAUAUACGAAAAUGAUGAUUCUUUAAGGACGCCGUGAGUAUAGGAGGAGUCUUUUAUUUUUUUCAAUUAUUACGCUAUACACGAAAGAAAACAAAUGAAAAAAAAAAAAAACUUUUAAAUCCAUUUCCGGCGUGCAUUCAAGCAUACGAUUGUAUUCGUGCUUGCUGGAACACGCUUUGCGUAUACAAAGGUAAUAAAGUCGAUGAAGCGAAGGUUAAACAAGUGCUGUCGAAUAUUUCAGUUCCGCAGUGUUGCCGUCUUCUUUGCUGACGAAAAGGGUACGGAAUGGAUCAAAACAACCUGAGACAAGCUGUUACUCCCCUCCGGCCGGAGUUAAACCGGUGAAGUUCGCAAUUCUUUUCUACUUUCGCACAGAGGCUCGACAGAGAGCACUUAUUCAACGGUAUUCACGCCCAGUCUAUUAAAAUGGAUCGUCAACCAUUUCCUCUCGCCGAAUGUCGGUAGCUUCCCAUUCUUUCUUUGCCUCUUUGCCCGCAGUUUUGAGAGAAAAAAAAUUUUUGCCUCUUUUGAUAGCAGAUGGACUCAUCUCGACAUAGUUGCUGUUGGGUCAACGUUUCAAUCCAGCAGCUUAUCCGCCACUCAUCUCCGAUUACAAGAUAAAAAAGAAAAAUGUCUCCCGUCUACAGGAUCGAGGGAAACGAGGAUGUAUGGUCUUCGUGAUCUCAUCGUACAGUUGCCUGGAAUUGGAUCGAAUUUCCUUAAUAGAUAAUAACUAUCAAUGAUGGAAAAAAGAAAUCAUAAGAAAGGAUAACAAAAAGGCCAAUGGGGUCUUUCAUCCUCUGCUGUAUAGGAUUUCUCGAAUUCUCAAUGACCAUGUCCGUACAUUUUUAUACGUUCGCGGAUCCACCCUUGUAGUGACAACAUUUUACAGUGCGGAGUAACACAAAACAAAACAAAAAAAUGGAGAAGUGAAUUACCGGAUGUAUUUUAUAUGUACGGAACAUUAUGGUGCCAUGCGGAAUGAUGGCCUCGUAUAUUUUUAUGACGAAUUUCGAAUGGUCACAUUUUGUCGCAUACAACAACGCGAUGCAAAUUCCGUCCGUCCCCCCAAAUCUAUUUGCUUUCCGCUUCAAGUGUGUGACGUAAAAAUAAACCGUGUCUCACUUGUCUGUUGUCAUACAAUAAUAGUUGGAAAGUACGACGGAAGUGCGCAGAAACUAGCGAACCGCAGCGUCAGCUGAUCAGCAGAGCAACACAACUUUCAACUUUUCGCUUCUGUCUUUUUCUACGUGUGACUGAUGAAUCGUCUCAAA